rnacentral:rRNA from 1 species
GACGGAGGAUGCAAGCGUUAUCCGGAAUGAUUGGGCGUAAAGCGUCCGCAGGUGGCAGUUCAAGUCUGCUGUCAAAGACCGGGGCUUAACUUCGGAAAGGCAGUGGAAACUGAACAGCUAGAGUAUGGUAGGGGCAGAGGGAAUUCCUGGUGUAGCGGUGAAAUGCGUAGAGAUCAGGAAGAACAUCGGUGGCGAAGGCGCUGCUCUGGGCCGGUACUGACACUGAGGAGCGAAAGCGUGGGGAGCGAACAGG